CAGAAAGCUGUUAUUGAAACAACCCCAAAAUGGAGCCAUCUUGUUUUCAUAAAGUUUCCACUAUAAUUGAGUUUGAUAGUAAAACUAACCCAGGUUUUCCUUUUUUGUUUAGUCAUUCUUUGGAAUGCAAACCAAGGGCUAGGACUGUUGCUUCUAGUACAUUGGGAGAAGUGAACCCAUGAAUCAAGUAAAUCAGUUUAUUAUAAAUGGCUAAAACCUCCUGAAAUACUUUGUGAUGUGUGCUAGGUCAAGUCGAAAUCUCUCACAGAGGAAAAUACGAUAGCAAAGACGUCAGUCAUUUUGUAUUAAUGACCUUCUUUCUAACCAGUUCCUAAAAAAGAAAAGAGUAACCAUCUCUAUAACUAUGGAAUCUAGCAAGCAAACACCAUGAACUUACAUUGCCAGUGAGAAGACAUGAUGAACUCCAGCUCAGAAUCAUAUUGAAUCAGGUUCAAUUCAGGACAUAAAAUGAAAUGAAAAGCCCAAACUAAUUAGAUUGUAAUGAGCAGUUCAUAUGCCUUAUGUUGUUUUAUCACGUGCAGUAGGUGCUGUAUCCCUACAGUGAAUGACUUCAAGCAAUUCAUCAGCCUGUACUGUGUUCAAGAAUGCUAAUCAGAAGGAAAAGACUCUUUUUAUGACAUGCUUGAAGAAAGCAAGAUUGAUUGUAGCUUCUUGAUCAUAGCAGCGCCAGUGGAAUGGCUUUAUCUCUAUUAAACUUCACUUGCGUUUCUGGAAAGCAUAGAGUGUCCUAAUGAGACAGGCAGAAAUAAAGGAGUUCAUUAGUACAAGAUUGCUAAAGUUGAAAUGUCAUGUUACAAGUUGGAAGCUGAUAUUCCAAAGAUUAUUCAGAGUCUGGGUCUGAAACUCAAAUGUCAGUGACAGGUACCAUUUUGGAUUCCUCAGUCUGUGCUUCCUACAUCUCAGCUACCACAUUACUGUUCAGUAAAUUUUUAAUUCAGAGGCUCCAGAGGCCUUUAUUUAUAUCAUGAAAUAACUCAUAUUAAACAAGGAAGGAAGGAAGGAAGGAAGGAAAGAAGGAAGGAAGGAAGGAAGGAGAAAGGAAGGAAGGAGGAAAUCUACAAUUUGUCAUAAGGUCCAAAAGUGAUUUUCAUUGUACCAUGACUGAGCAGACCAGAUUAAACUAAUUAAAGAGAAACACAAAUUAACAAAAGUAAUUUCUUUUUUGUACACAAGUCAUUUGCCAGUUUGCUCUUGGUCUAUUACCUACCCUUUCCCUGCUUUGCUUAGUAUCUCGGGGAACUACAUUUUCCAGGCCCCUCUGCCAACUGGGUUUUGGUAGGUUUGGCCAAGGGGAGGCACUAGUAAAAUCCUGGGAGAAGAAAAUGAUGACAAAGUCACAAUAUACUUUUUUUCUGCUUUUAUUUUCACCUUGGCAAUGAUUCUAUCUUCUCUGUGAUUCUGGCUCCAUUAGAGAAGUUCCUCUCCCAGUGGUCUCAGGUCCAGUAGGAGAGUCCCCAUUUUGGUAGCUAGGUUAUAGUUUCCCAACGAUGGUCAUUAUCUUUAAACCAUGAAAACAAUACCUCUUCCUUGUGUCCUUCCAAUCCUUGGGGUAGUAGUGGUUUCCUACUGUUUCUAAUUUCUGGAUCACCUCACCAUCACUUUGCCAACAUUUCCAUCAUUUAUGUAACCAACCCCUGUAUUAAGUCACCUCUGUUUGAAAUACCUGGAGUGAUUUCUGUUUUCCUGCCUGAACCAUUACUAAGAUAGAUAGAUAGAAUGGUUUUAUUCAGAAAGUUUCUCCUCAGGAAUAACAUUCCCUUUGAAACUAUCCUCAUGAAAAAAAAUAUUAAAGGGAAGAAUAAAGGGGGAAAAAAGGAAGAAUUACUAAAAGAAAAGGCUUUACAUGAGGCUCUUUAUAUGACAAUUCUCCCACAAUACUACUAUUUAUUUGUGCAUCUGCUGCAAGUGACAAUUGCAGCCAUGUGACAAUUAGGAGUCCUUAAACAUUUGAAUGUCUGCACACUUCUAACCUUCUGCAGAUUUUCUCUAAAUAAUCUGUUUACAUUCUAUUUAACUACCACUUAAUUUGGUGCUAAAAUUAUGUUUUUCAUAUUCAUAUUCAACAUCAUAUCUCUGAUAUUUUUGAUGCAACACAUUCUAAAUUUCAUUAGCAGUAUCUUGGUAGAAUAAAAUGAUUGUGGAAUAAAUUUCAAAAUCAAAAAUGAAAGAUUUCAUGACUAUCUGAGUUGCAAGAUAUAUUUUGGGUAGGAAAAGAAAGACAAUAGCCAUCCCCCCUCCAAUUUUUUCCCAGCCCAUCUCCUAUUAGGAAAACUUGAACCAAUAAGAGAAGUCUUAUUUGUGAAUUAAAAAGAAGAAAACUGGGUAAAUGUUUAUUCUAUCCCAAUUGCUCCUUCCUAAUAGUGAAUAUUUACAUUUCCACAUUGUUGGAAUUUUCUCACACUGAUUUGGCAAGUAUAAACUAUCCUUGCCCUCCAGAAUCCCAGGUUCCGUAUAUAACACAGCAGUAGUUGCAUUUUUCAAGAGCUUGCAGUCUCAUUAUUAACAACUAAUACUAGUUUUAUACACAAAUACUCUGACUUUCUAUUACUGUGGUUACUUUACGUUUACAUUAAAUUAUAUUCAUUCAGGAAGUCCUUCAUUGCUUGCUGAUACCAAAGUUAUCAGAGCUAGUCCCAAAAGCCAAUUUUGAAAUUCUCUCACCAAAAUUCAUUAAUACAUCAGAAGUGCCCAAUAGAGGGCUAUCAUGGCAAACUGCCAUGGUUUUUAGUAGUGAAAAUAGAGGCAUCUUAUUUAAUAUGGAGGGUUGGCCAACAAACCAUGGCUACCAGCAAACAAUGAGCCAUCUGACCCUGACCCUAUCUUGAUAAUAAGCCUGGUAAGCUCCAUGAUUAGCCUUUCCUAGCUUGACUUCUUCUUAUCACCUCUUUACUCCAACAUAUUAUAAAUGCCCAAAUAACCUUUUGAAUUUAAACCAUGCCUUAAAAGAUCAACCAGAGGUGAUGGGCUUGAUCCACAGGAAUUUUCCCUGGGGCUAGAAAGAUCCAAGAAAGAUUAGAACCAUUUUCAAUAAAAGCCUCAGCCUCAAAGAAACAGAGAGAUUUGAUUAGCAGUCCAGUGCCUUUCCUCUGAAAGGGGGUGUUUUAGUUUGCUUAGGCUGCCAUACCAAAAUACUACAGACUGGUUGACUUAAACAGCAGAAAUUUAUUUUCUCACAGUUUUGGGAGCUAGAAGUCCAAGAUCAAGGUAAUAGCAGGGUUAAUUUCUUCUGAGGCCUCAUUCUUUGGAGUGCAGACGGCCACCUUCUUACUUUGUCCUCACAUGGUCUUUUCUCUGUGCACAAAUAUCCUUGGUGUUUCUCUGUGUUUCCAAAUUUCCUGUUCUUAUUAGGAGGCCUGUCAUAUUGGAUUAGAGCCCACCCAGAAGAAUCCUGUUUUGACAUAAUUAACUCUUUAAAGGCCCUGCCUCUGAAUCAGUUACAUUCUGUAGUAAUAGGAAUUAGGGCUUCAACACAUGAAUUGGGUGGGAGACACAAUUUAGCCAAUAACAAUGAGACUGGAGAAAUUUGUCUUUGUUGUCUCUAUACUUUUCUUUCUGCAAACUAUUCUUCCCUUAGUGGGGUCACUCACCGAAUGUCCUCAUUCUCUUUGGUUCUGCCAAAAUUCCUUAGAAUGGGGCUUGAAAAUCUCAUGUUGCACUAUGACCUAAAUGACAACUAAGUCUUAUGUAUUAACUUUUCAAGUAUGUUUGUUUUGAAAUAGGGGUUGGACAUUAAUCAAAAAGAAUAAAAUUGCAUUUGUGAAAUUGCAGUCCCUAGCAAGCCAAACCAAGGUGAUAUUUUGUGCCUUUCCAGAGCCUUUGAAAUCACAUAACAUCUGGAGCCAUCUCAGUCACUUACUUGUAAAGUCAGCUUUGGUCCUUGGCCUCCUGUACUAACUACCAUGAUUAUCAUUCAAGCCUACCUAACAUUUUCUUUAUUAUUGUGCAUUUACUGAGUGUCAGUGGGAUGCUACAUCUAAGGAAGCUGCUAAAAGUUGGUAAGUAGUGCUUGAAUACAAAUCUCCAACCCAGAGCUGCUAGAAAUUAUGUUUAUGAUUCAAUAAAUGGGUUUUUUUGACUAUUGCCCAAACUGUGCCCCAGCAUGACCUGGGUGGACUAAUCCUGCUGGGGGUACUAUUUUUGGAUGUCAUAAAUCUAAGCUUCUGGCUAUUUCUAGUCAUUAAACAUCCCAAGGAACUUUUCAUAACACUAGGGUUUUUAAUCCCCAGCUUCUGGCCAAAUUCCAACUGGAAUAAUUACAUUCUGCUUACUGUACCUAAAUUCUCAUAUGGAAGUUUGAGAGACUUUUAUUGUAUCAUCUCCAUAAUUAAACUGUAAUCUAUAGAGUGUGCUGUAUAGUUUCUAACAUGGGAGAAUGCAUGCAUUAUAUAAUUCUAUAAGUUGUAUUUCUGAUCAAAGUCAAUUCAGCCAUUACAUUUCUUCAGGCUCUUUGUAAUAAUUUUAAAGCCAAAGUACAGCCGAUAAGUACUCAAUUUUAUGUUGUCUUAAAUCACAGGGAGUAGAACCCAAGAGUUCACCAUAAGAGUUUUUAUCCUAACAACAGGAAAAUAGAGCCUCUUUGCCUGAAUUUCAUUAUUGUUCACAUGGUUGUUUGGGAAUUCAGUUUCAACUUAAAAACACACAAAAUGUUACAGGCAACUUGAAUUCAUUAGGUUCUUUUGAUUAUAUGGGAAGUUAAGAAGAAUGAAAGCCUGGUCUUCCAGUAUGCCAUACCCACAUGAGUAAAUUUCCAGUUUACAGUUAUAGAGGAAAAAGAAUACCAAUUUUUCAAAGGUCUGGUCACCUCACAUUCAAAAGAUAAACAAAAUGAUCUCACGGAGGAGUUCCUAAAACCUAAAAGGUUUUUAAAUGGACUAAAAGUAGCAGCUGCUCUUGCCAGAGGUGGGUCUGGCAGGCACGUAGUCGCAAGGUCAAAGCACGGGAUGGAGAACCAGAAGCACUGGCACCAGAUAAGGGUGGCAGUAGAGGGCACUGCAAUAGAGACUAAUAGCUUUUACCAGGCUCAGUUUCAUGGAUGAAAAGAACUCAACUUGUCCCCAUAAAACAGUAACAGGAGAUGCAGUGGAAUCAGACAGGAGGGCUUUUGUUGUCAUUACUAUUCAAGUGGCCCGGGAUCUCUUGGAUGGAAUGGGCAGAUAACUGAUCCUUUUCAAUUAAGGGAUAGGAAAUGUUUUUGCAAAAUAUCUACACUUAUAUUCUCAUUGUGAUUUCUAUUCAGAUGACUUCAGGAGGUUCAUGUGUCUGAUCGGUUGUCCCAGGUGGGGUCUGCAUCUACAUUGUCCCACCAGGACUGAGCCACCAAACCAGUGGAAGAAUCCCCCUGGGACAGAAUGUAACGGUGUCUCUUUGUAAUCCUUUUCAACUCUUACAUGAAGAACACCGAACUUACAUAUCAACCUGCAACCUUUUACCACAUGUGGAGCUUUGAUUCUCUUGUCUCACAUACGGGGACACUGGGACACAGAAAUUCUGGAGUCUUGAAAUCCGGUUCAUUUACAAGUAGAUUUUUCUCCUACUAAAUUUUGUUUUAUUACUAUCAAAAUAGCAUUUCUAUCUGACUAGACAGAACUCCAAAUAAAACAGAUCUUCAAAUACUGAUUGAACAGAUUGCCUUCUGGUCAAUAAGAUAGUAAAUAGCAUGUCUUACCAAAUUCAGAUGUAAAAGAGACUUGAUGUAAACAGAGAUGACACUAAAAAUAGAGAUACAAAACUUUAAAGAACCAGUAUAUAUUUGGUAUUUUAUUGUACAUUUAAUUUGAAGAAUUUUCACCCCUUCUCAAGAAAAUAGAACGAACUGGAAAACCGUGGAAAUGUAUUUGGUGAAAGCCUAAGAGCUACACUCUCAUUUAAGCUGUUUCCACAUUUUCCCCUCUUCAAAUUUCGAAGCACUGUCUUUAAAAUUGUUACAUACCCAGAAGGGCUGGCAGAAUUAGGACUGGAAUAAAAUAAGAUAUGAUUUGUAAAAUCGUAAAAUCAUCUUCAUAUAUUUGAAUAAGGUACGCUUCCCCCUCUCAAACUUACUCUGUAAAAUGGCUCUUAGAGCAGUUGUUAACACCAUAGUGUGAAUAUAAGGCAAUGUGCUAUCUCUCUCAGUAAUAUUUGCAUUUUGGAUCUCAUUUCUAAUUGUGGAAUGAAAUAAUCUGUUCCAGAUAAAAGAAUUUUAAGUUUAAGCCCAGAAAUUAUUUUUGAGCUCUACUUGAUCACCUUUUUUUGGUAGCUUGAAGGGAAAACUCGCAGAAAGUAGUUUUUCUUGAGAGAAUAUUCUCUUCCUGCCAAUUUUGCUUUACAAAACUACAUUGUUUUACAUUAUGUAUGUUAAUCAAUGCACUUGGAGACUGUAGGGAGCUGGAAGGACUUAGAGCUGGAAGGACUUUAAAGUUUAUCUAAUCCAAUCCCCUCAUCCAGAGCUUUUAAAAUAAUAAAUCUACAGCUGUCUUUAAACUAAUCUUUGAUACAAAUAACUCACUGUUUCAUAAUGGUCUCUCUCUAGAUGAAUCUCCAUCAGUGACACGAUUAGCAAGUGUCUCUAGUGUAUGCACAAGCCCAGAGACACAACCCUUGAGGUGAUGCUGCGGAACCGCCCGAAUGGAUUUUGUGCUGUGAGUAGUUUUCUACAGUAUGGUGAUAGAUUUGCUUUAACCAAUGUGUGAGCUCUAAUCUCAUCUCCUUAUUGGCCAGUAGUAAACACAAGUGCCACACCAAGCUGUGGUCAAAGAUGAAACGGACCCUUGAAAGAGAGAAGUUGACAAGGCCACAUGGGGCAAAGCUCCUGCUCUGAGCUUCAUUAGCACAGGGCUCUAACCAAGAAGCUAACCAGCCACAGAGACAUAUAAAUAGACACACACCCAUUUUAAGAUGAAAUCGCUUAACCGUCACUGGCCCACUUUUCAGCAAAUGAAUGUUAGCGCAUUAUCAAGUUUCCAAGCAAUUAUUCAAAUCAUUAGAAUGUACUAAAUUUCUCUUUUUCUGUUACUAAAGAGUGUGUUGAGUUGUUGACUGGUGAUAUGAAUGAGCAACCUAAGGAGUGGGGUGGAAUUUAUUCUUAUUAUUAAUAACAGACUUCACGUAGGCCCUGGCACGAUCUACAAGGCUUAACGCUCCAAAGCUAGAGAUCACAAGUUACCCAUGACAUGAUGGAAUUUGUUUUUUAAUGAGUGUAUUUCAUCUUAACUCAUGUUGUCAUGUGGAGCCAUGAUGUCACCUAAAUGUAGUAAGCCAUAAAAGGUGCCAUAUUCUCCUACUAAAAUAUUAUUAGCAUUUUACUAGGCUCCUGUAUCCUAUAAUAAGAGGCAAAGAGAGAAUCCAGAUUUCUACAUUUCUCUUUUGCUAUGAUAGAAAUGAGCUUAGCAUGCUUUCAAGAAAAGACUACAAUUGCAUGGUUCUAUAACAAAGGCAAUAUUAUUCAGGGUUUUGAAUGAAGGAACUCUGAAAAUAAAAUACAAACAACACAUAAAUAUGUGACUCUUAAAAAGCUAAAAGUUCAUCUACAUUAGGGGUGCCUGGCUGGCUCAGUCAGUAGUGCAUGCAACUCUUGAUCUCAAGAUUGUGAGUUUGAGCCCCACGUUGGGUGAAGCGAUUACUUAAGAAAGCAAGAUCUGGGGUGCUUGGGUGGCUCAGUCAGUUGAGCGACCGACUUUGGCUCAGGUCAUGAUCUCGCGGUCUGUGAGUUUGAGCCCUGUGUCGGGCUCUGUCCUGACAGCUCAGAGCUUGGAUCCUGCUUCUGAUUCUGUGUCUCCCUCUCUCUAUGCCCCUCUCCCGCUCAUGCUCUGUCUCUCUCUGUCUCAGAAAUAAAUAAACAUUAAAAAAAUGGUAAAAAAAAAAAAAAAGAAAACAAACUUUUUUAAAAAAAUUAUCUAUGUUAUCUAUAAAUCACAUGUGUUGAGUAUGAACAUAUCUUAAAGACGUACACAUAAGAUCAUCCUCAACUCUUAGGACACUAAUAUCCUAAACUUGUCAUUGUUGUUUUCAAUUAAGGCAUAUUUGCCUAAGAAGUACAUAUUAAGCAAUAUCACACAUAACAAAGAAAAACAUACCAGUAGUUUGCCAGAAGUUCAGAGGUCCAUAGCCAUUUCAUGAGAUCUGAUCCAAAGCCAUUCCCAAACAGGGCACUGUGUCAUUUGAGGAAGGUAGGACCACCAAGACCUUAAGUAAGUUUCAAGUCCACAGAAAAAUGACCCAGAUCAUCCCUGCAAUACAUCUUCCCAGGAUAUCCAUUCUGGAGGAUAAUUCUUUCGCUGUAGAAGAUUAUGCUGUAAGUCACAGGUGAGAGCAGGCAUCAUAACGUAGGACUUCAUGUAACCAGAGGGUCUAAACACAAUUUUACGUGUAUGAAGAGCUUGACAAAAUUUGUUUAUUUAAGAAUGUUUCAUGUUUGGGGUGCCUGGAUGGCUCAGUAGGUUAAGCAUCUGACUCUUGAUUUUGGCUCAGGUCAGGAUCUCACUGUUGUGGGAUCGAGCCCUGCAUCUGGGUCCUCACUGAGCAUGGAAUCUGCUUAAGAUUCUCUCUCUCUCUCUCUCUCUCUCUCUCUCUCUCAUAAAUAAAUAAAUAAAUUUUUUUAAAAAGUUUCAGGUUUAACAACUUAGUUGUCAGUAUCACCAUCUUUAUUCAUUUUUAUUACAAAUGCACCAAGAACUCAGCAGGAGCUGAUCUUAUGGAACUUGAUUAGCUUCCUGAGUCUAGAAAUAGAAUGAGUCAUACAGCAAGUAAGCUUAGAAACAAAACACAUAUCUAUUUGGACUAGUAUGCUAAAUUUGGUAAUGGUUAAUUCAAUCCAUUCUAAGUAUAAGCUGGGGUAAAGAGAUAAAUUCAACAGGUGUGAAAAAGAUGGACUAAGGCAACUCAAUAGCAUUUGAGGUCUCUUAAGUUCAUUUCUACCAAAGCAGCUUCACUAUUUAUAACUAUUGGAUAUAAGAUUACUCCCUAGAUCCAAAAGGAGUGACUUUAGGAGGAAAUAGGACAAUAUGGGGUGCCUGGGUGGCUCAGUCAGUUGGGCGUCAGACUUGAUUUCAGCUCCGGUCAUGAUCCCAAGGUCAUGGGAUGAAGCCGUGUGUCGGGAUCCUCACUAAGCAUGGAACUUGCAUAAGAUUAUCAAUCUCAUUCUCUCUCUCUCCCUCUGCCCUCCUCCCCCAGUCAUGCUCUGUCUCUAUGAUUAAAAUUAAAUAAAAUUAGAAAAAAAAAUACUAACAUCUAUUAAUUCAGAUAACUAAAAUCUAACUGCUGUGCAAAAUAUAUUGGUUAAUUUGUUUCCCAUGCCCAAUUUUAGGUGAAAUUGUUGUGUUCAUUUUUCCUUGCAUAAGAAAUAGCAUUAGGUUAUUUUGUGCAUAAGGAUGUCCAGUGAUCCAACCAGUAAUGAAAAGACCAUUGGCCAAAAAGGAACGAAUAAAGUUCUUCUAAUUUUUUUAGGAGUUGCAUUGAGAUGGUUGCUAUACCUGAUGGAUCAUGAGUGGAGUCAAGAGCAGUGACCAGAUCAAAGUCAGAACAGCUAAGCUGAAAUAUUCUCUCAAGUCAGAGCCUGCCCUACUUUGAGUGGAGGUUUUCUUGAAAUCAAAAUGGCUGGAUGAGAAAGGCAUACUUCAUAGCUUCCAGUGUUCAAUCCCAGAAAUACCCAAACUUUUUAAAAAGGAAUAUUUUCAGGCUAAUGGAAUGAUAAAGGCCUUAUAUGCAGAGAGAAGAAGAUGGGUUUCGAAAUUCAAGGACAAAUUAAAUCUAAAAAUAGAAAAAUGUAAUUUUUUUAGUGUUUCCCUUAAAUAAACACAUGAAUGGAUGUAAUGUAAUGAAUAUAGCGUAUGCCAGCAAUAGUGAUAAUACCAAAGAGAUUUAACGACUAAUUUUGUAAGACUUAUUUGGCUAUUUCAUUUGUGCAAACACUAUCUUUUAGCACCCUUCAUCCUCUGUGUUGUGGUUUAUUGUACAACUAAAACUUCCAUGCCAUGAUACUAGCCAAGAGGAUCUGGAAUAGAAGUGUUAGUAGACCCCUCUGGCUAAAUUGGAGAUAGGUGCAAUGCCAUUGAAUGAUGUGCACAUGAUUUUGCAGAAGUAACACCAGCACCAGGCAUUUGCAAAUGUGCCAAAUUCUCCAAAACUUCUACACAGGGAAAAUGUUUAAGGAUAGAAAUAGAAAACUAUGCUUUAAACUAAAAGCAGCCUUGCAAGUAAUUACAUGCCUACUUGCUCAGGGUGAUAAAUUACACUUGCUCAUGCUUUUUAUACUUUUUCUAUGACUUAUGAGAAGGUUAUAGGUAAUCUUUUUCUUUCCAUUGAUACUAGUAAAGUUGCAUCCAGUCCAUACAUGUUAGUCUGGAAUAAAACAACUUUCAGUGUGAUCUGGAGCCAAGACAGGUGGCGAGCGAUCGCAGGAGCUAAGAUGUUAGACUGAAAAAUGGGGGGCGGGGAAAGGCAGUGGAGUAGAGAAUCACUGAAGACCAGUUCAUGCAAGUGGUAGUGCAGCUGUGCGGAAUAAAAUUCAACUGUGAUCAAAAUUGCAGUUGACAACCUGAAGACAAAUGGAAGGCCAAGAGACAGACAGCUCAUUGAGAAAGCUUGGCACCCACGAGUUUAGCCAGAGCACCAUGCAAGGAAAAUAGAAUGCAGAUGGAGAGAAAAGUAGCUGAGAUAUGGUAAGAGAAGGGACUGUAAACAUCAAGUCCACCAGUUGAAACCCAAGGCAUUGUCAUGGUCAGGAGGCUGUUUCUGCUGGGUUCAGAAGUGGUCCUCUGGGAAUCAGGCAAGUUUCCUACCAUCCUCAUUAUGAACAUGACUUUCUCCCAUAGCUACACGAUUCACAUGCCAGUGACCAUCUUUUCACUACCUUCCCAGGUAAAUUGCAUUUGCUCCAAAACUACCCUCUAAUCUACUCAUCCAAGUCCAGAGGUCUUUUGUGGCCAGCUGUUCUCUCAUAGUCACCAUGGCACCAUCACUCUCCUAAGCAAAGAAUCAUUUUUGAUAAAUCACCCAAAUAUGAAUUCUGUUGAUAUUUUUCCUGGGAAGAGUGUCUUCCAUUGCUUCCUCUACCCUAGUGCAUACCUUGAUUUUGUCUAGCCUUGGCCUAGCAAAGGGUGUCCACUGUGUCUCUUGUUCUUAUAUAAAGUUAUUCCAAUGACUUCUUAAAAGGUUUCUCUAAGUUUUAGAAUCUUAAGAUUUAAAGAUGUGUUUAUGGACAGCUAGUAUGACAUCCCUCUCCUGUAGGAAAUCCUUCUAAAGAAAUCUUGGUUAAUCAGACUCAAUCUUUACUGUCCACCAUAGGAGAAGUCUUGCUUAAAAAUUCUUUUUAUAAUAUUGAUUCACAAAUAGUUCUAUUUGUCCUACUUCUAUUCGUUGGAGAAAUAUAUACAGCAACUCUUCUUUAUGACAGAUGAGAGUCUUUCUUUAAUCUUUUCUUUCUACGGGUUAAAUUACCCUGGUUCCUCCUUGCAUUUAACUUGCAAGGUAAUUUCUACAAAUUUCACCAUCCUAGCCAUCUUUUUUGCAUGUACUCUAGUCUGCCAAUGCCCCUCUUCAAAUGGGGAACCCAGACAUGAUAUGCUAAUAGAGACCAAGCAAUAUUGAGAAUCAAGGGAUCAUAAUUUCCCACAAAAAUAGAUAUUUUUAAAAUCUGUGCAGCCUAAUCUUGCUAGUUUUCUAAUAGAGGCAUUAUACUCUCAACUCAUAUUGAGUGUAUUAUCAACUAAUUUCCUCAACUCUUUUUAUUUCCUAUAUGGUCAAUACCUAUUAUUUUUUUAUCUUCCAAAGAUAACCACAUGGAUAAAGAAGGAUUAUGACUUGAUGUUCAAAUAUGACCCAAAGAACAAUGCAAAAUCAAUAGAUAGACCUGUGCUGCACCCAAAUUUAAUUAAUGACAGUUUUCCUUUACCAAAGAAUUUCAGAUAUCAUUUUUUCAGUUUAUUUCCAUCUCAGUGGGGCAGAGACAACUCAGGGGGCAGGGGAGAGGUAGAAUGGCAUGAACACAGUUCAGGUGAUAGGGACGGAUCCAACAAAUGGCAAGAUUUUUCACCUGGAUAAAACAAUUCAUAAGGUUUAGUAGGAAAUACCUGGAAAGAUAAACUUGGAUGAUAUUACAGGACAUUUAAAAAACAGACAGUGGCAUUUUGUUUUUAUUCAGUAGGCACUGGGGAAAAUUUAAUGAUAUUUGAGCAAGUCAGUGACAUAAUAAGAUAAACUACUAGUAUUCAUACAACAGAUAACAUAAAGUAAUUCUUGCAGAUAGCAUCUCAUUUAAUCAGAACCCUGCCCUAGAAAUAGUAUUUCUACAGUGACAGGAAAGGUAGAGUCAAAACCAGCAAAAGCCACGUGAGCUAAUGUGUGGGUUUCAAUGAAGAAAUAAUGAAAUCUUUAACCAGAAUAGUGAUGUCUAGAAUAAAAGAAAAGAAAGCCAAGAUGCACUUGACAAUGAAGAAGUACCUAGAUCUGGUAACUGAUUGGAUGUGGAAGCAACAAAGUAAAAGAAAUCAAUCAUGACCAUACAAUUUUAAUCUUAAUAACUAGGAGAAUGGUAGUCCUCUUAAUAAUAGUAGGAGGGGAACAGCAAAAGAAGCUGGAACAUUUUUUAUGGUGUUGGAAAAUGAUAUACUAUUUCUGGAUAUAUUAACAUGAAUGUGUCCUCGGACAUCUAAUUAAAAAGGUUCCAGAGCAGAGAGUUGUAUGUGUGUCACUUUGCGACCAUAUUGAGAUUAGAGGUAUUAAAGAUAGAAUAUCUAAAUGAAGUUAUAGAAAUAAAUGAGAAUUCCAAAGGAGAAAUGGUAAAAAGAGAAGGGAAAAGUAGUAAGAAGGACUUCCAAAAAGGAAUAAGAGCACCAUCAGCAAAAUAGGAAGUGAGCUCACAUUGAGUUGCUAUUACAGACAAUAAAGGAUGGAAGACGGGCGCAGUGUGUGGGCGCAAGCAGGAGGAUUUCAUGUUGCAAAGAAUCUGAAAAUGAUACAGCUCCAGAAGAUUCUGGAAUCUACGAUUCGACUUCGCCCUGCCACUAGGACAGAUCUGUUUGCUGUGCGGGGAGAAAGUUCACUGGAGCAACAGAAUACUGGUGUGGUUUAGAGAGGCAGUUAGCUCUGUUCAGAAUUAAGUGCCCUGCUGGAGAAUCCAAAAACCAGUGAUAAUGAGAUAUCCAAAAGGUAGAGAUAUUGGAGGCACAUGCCAGGGGCAUUCAUCUCUCAGGGUUUAGGAGAAUGUUCAUGAUUAGGCUACAGUACAGAGGUGGGCUCUACUCCCUGGGGGACAAUGGCAGUAAAAGGUGAGCUCCCAAUACUGGAGGACAUGAGAUUCUACACAGAUUCUAAAACGUUGAUUCUAGUACAAGAAAGAAAAUGAAGAGUCAGAAAUUGGGCAAUUAUUAUCAGAAUUUUUAAUUCAAGUCAAGGCUAAAAGAGAGGCAUGAGUUACAAAUUGCUUAGUUGGGACUAGUCCAAUAGGCUAGAAAUCUAUAUUUCUGCCUAUGCUUAGGAUGGCCUCUGGAAUCCAAAGCAAGUUCAAACCUUCAGAGACUUCCAGGGGCCACAAUUAUGAACACCUUUCAGAUUGCAGGGACUGAAUUUGACAAUGAAAUGCAUAGGGAUGUCUUUAGGAAUAAUAGCUUCAACCAGGAUGUAUGGUAGCUGGUAUGAAAGUCAAAAUUGCAAGGAAUAAAGGAACAAGUGAGUGAAAAAGAAUGUAAUGCAGGGAAAUAACUAACUCCGAUGGGAGUUGGUACCAUAAGAGAGAAGGAGCAGGGAGAGGGAGAAGAGAGAGAGAAGACAGAAGUUGAGAAAGUAGUAAGGUCCAGAGAAAGCUUUCUGUUCGUAUGUCUAGGUGAGAAAAUCUAAAACAUCUAUAAACAGAAAGAAGGAGCCAAUGGAAAGAGCCAAUGUAAUGCUAUUCAUGAAAUUGUAGGAUCUCGAAGUGGAAGAGAAGGGAAUGAGGGCACACAAAGUGUCUAGGCAAAGAGCCCAUGUGAAGCUGCCUCCUCUGAGAAGAGUCCCAGGGCAAUGAGAGUACUAGACAAGAGUCCAAAGGCCUGCGUGGUAGUCCUAGUGCUGCCCUCAGUUCACCAUGCUAGCUAGCCCUCUCUCUGAGCCUCUGUUUGCUCAGGAAUAGAGAAGGUGGCCUAGAUCCUUCUGGCUCAUAGGUGAUCAAGAACAGGUAGAACAUAAAGACAUGAAGGGGGAGAAGAAGGACAAAGAGAAAGAUCUGAGUGGCCCCAGUGUUCUCAGGAAAUGAGGAAGCAGCAUACCCCGAUGAUGGUGACGGUGGGGUCACAGAAUGCAAAUCAGCUGAAGGAACACCAGAGUGUAGAAAGGCGAUGCUUGGCACAGCGGCGAAAACCUUGGCAGGCAGGCCAGUUCUGUAUUCUGGCUCAGCCACCUGUAAACUGUGGGAUGUUGGACAAACUACGUAAUGUCUCUAAACCUGCCUCUUCAUCUAUAAAAUGAGGACCAUGGUUCCCUUGUGAUGGGCAUAAACUAUAGGAUUAGUGAAGCAAUUCGACAAGAUAUAUACAUAUAGCGCUUACUAUAUUGCCAGGCUUGUAAGUGUGCUCAAACAAGCUCAAUACAGUUGAAAUAAAUAAGAGGACACAACUGAGGGGAAAUAAUAGAAAAUUCAUAGUGACUUCCAACCACUAGAGUUUCACAACAUUCUCCUGUACUGUCAUCUUGAAGUGAGAGAAGGUAAAGCAAUUAAUGAAAAGGAUUCAUAGUAUAGUGGAAGCAGAGGGAGAAGUUACAGCGUCUGGAGGCUGUCUUCCAGAAGCAGGGGGGUGCCUAAAAAACAGACCAGGGGCACCUGGGUGGCUCAGUUGGUUAAGCACCUGACUCCUAGUUUCGGCUCACGUCAUGACCUCAGGGUUUGUGAGUUUGAGCCCCAUAUCCAGCUCUUUGCUGGUGUGCAGAGCCUGCUUGGGAUUCUCUCUCUCUCUGCCCCUCCUCCAUUUGCACUUGCACGUGUGCCCAUGCACUCUCGCUCUCUUUUUCUCACUCAAAAUAAAUACUAAACUUAAAAAAAUAAAUAAAUACCAGACCAGCAGGCAGGAAACAAAAAGGGAAAGGCCAUUUGACAGGGAAACCAGAGGAAUUUCACCAUUCAAGGGGCCAAAUGCUGGGGAAUGUGAGUCUCCUGUUUAAAGGCUAUUGGGUUUAGCCUUUAAACAGCUUUUAAACAGGUUUAGAAGCUGUGAUCAGGAAAAAGGCAUAACAAAGUUUUUAAAAAUAAAAAGAAACAUAAAUUUAAAAAAAGGGGGACAGAGCAAGAUGCAGGGAUAUUUUCUAAAAUGAUAAAUCAAAAAAAAAACCCCUGUAUUUUCUAACAAAUUAAUUUGAUUGUGGGUUUUAUACUUCUUGGCUGUUUUGCCACCUGCAUGUAUUAUUAGUUAAGUCCAAAUAUUGAAUGAAGACAAAGUAAAUAAGACACAGUGAGAGCAUUAGAAAGGGACUGGUUCCCGUGAUGGCUUGGCCCCUUGAGUCCUCGUCUUGCGGGGAAGGGAAAGUCAAAUUGUCUGGACAUACAGACGCUAAGGGCCCUCACCCUGUACUGGGCGUGUUUGCCUUUCUCAUAAAUUUGAAGAGGCAUUCCCAAGUAUUUUCAAUGCUGAUGAUAGGAUAACCAUAUAAGUAAGCCUAGUGAGAACCUCCAUCUACAUUCAGGAGCAAUUGCCUCAAUUAUCAUAACUUACCAAACACUUCAUCAAGUGCCAGGCACCAUUCAACCCAGUCUUAUUUAAUCCCCACUAUAAGACCCUAGGAGAAAGGAACCGGGACUUUGCACAUUUGACAAAUAAACCAAAGCACAGGGAUGUAACGUUACCUGCCUGAAGUCACUGAGCUGGGCAACAGGAGAACCAAGAGUGACUCCUCAGCCCAUGCACCUAACUGUCAUGGGGAAACUUCACAACGCAGGCACGUUCUCAGUAAAUAGCUCUAUAUUUUUUCAUUCAAAAGAAAAUGCACGAAUCACAAUUGUUUUUUUCUCUUAAUAUUUCACUUUAUGCAAUUCUAACAACCCAUCUUUAUCUGAGUGACUUCUGAUAUUCGCUUGUAGUCUUGGAAUCUUUUCUGGAAGAGCAUGUUUGGAGGUCCAAGGUAGAAAAAUUAAAAUAAAAUGGUAACUUCAAAACGUUGUACAAAAGUUGCACAAAAUCUCAGUUUUCCGAGAUAGUAAAUACUGAAAAACUUAGCUAUAAAGUCCUAAAAAUGUAAUUGUAGCUUGCUAACACUAUUAAAUAUGUAUACUGUGGUCUUUUUGACAAUUGUAUUAAUCCUUUUACAAAGCCUUCAGAAGUUCCAUCACAGAAGCAUGGAUGCUGUUUUGAUCUAUUUAUUACUCUUAAGUGUUCAGAGAACUGUCCCUAUUUUCUAAUUAACACUUUUAAAGAUAAAAAGCCAUGUAUUAAAUCAAUCUGAAUGAUGGUUGUUUGUGAAUCCCACAAGAUAAGGCAAUUUGCAUGUUCACUUUGUACUUACAAACUAAAUCUGCACAUCUCCAAAGCAGCCCCUUAUAAUGUAAACCUUUUGUGAGUAUUUGUAACUUGAAAGAAAGUUUGGCCUACUACAGAAACAGUGCCAAUUAUCUAAAGGGUUUCGUUACCGAACAUGAUUAAGAUACAAAGAUAUUGGGUUGUUAGUUCAUAUUGUUUGCUAUGGAACUUGAAGAAACGACUUUUAAAACAUCUAGGAUUACAGAUUACUACUACCUUUGUGUGGGGAACGAACACAACUCAUUUCCCCCAACAGUUAACUGCUUUCAAAAGUAACCAGUUGCCACUCAAUUGGGGUAAAAUUCCUUUGAUAUGAAUUAAAUUGCUUGCUGAUGAAAUGCACCUUUCAGCGACCUGUUUGAGUUUCAGCGAAUGCUGGAGCACACUUCGUGACGUGAAUUCCAGGGUUAGUGCUAAAUCACAGUGGUGAUUUGUUAUUGGAUUUUCAGUACUGAUGAGUCAGCGCCGUAAGAUGUUUACCAAAUUAGAAUUUCAAGAACAAUGGCACUGUUCUCAUUAAAUGGAAGCUUUUGUUGCCGAUAUAGGCUAUUAUUUCCACAUGGUUUUGGUGUGGUGUGUUCACACUUGCGGCACUCAUCAGCUAGGGUUUCUUUGCUUUUGCAGUAUCUGUCUUCGUUGGGCUUUACGUGCUCAAUCAACUUUGAAACCGUGUGUCAAAGCCCCAGUUUUCAAAAUUCAGAAAAGGAUCCUUUAUCUUUUCUAAACAGUUCAACCUGUGCUUUCCCCUUUGCCAAAUACCUCAAGAAACCAGAACUAUCGUGUUGGCUAGUGAAACUGGGAUCAGAUUUUUCUCUUUUUUCUCUUUUUUCUAAAAGCCCAUGCCUUACAUCCAUUGACCUCUCUGGAAUGAUUCUGCAAAAGGUAAGAUGUGAAAAUAGCUUUUGAGACCCUGGGUUCUGAGAUGGUCAGAAGGUGAUGCUGAUGUCUCCUGGCAAAAAAGCAGAUGAUUUUUUUUUCACUUCUUUAUUUGGCGAAUAUUUGUUGAGCAUCCAAGGCAUGUCCGGUCCAGUGCCAUUAUAACUGUUAGAGGCGCAUCAGAUAUAAAUGUAAACAUGAAAUCCCUGUUUUCAUGUAGGUUACUUUCUAAAAAAGAAGACAAGCAUAAAACAAAUAACUCAAUAAAUACAUAAAAUAAUGCCCGCUCACAAUUUCUAGAGGUGCUGGAUGUGUCCACUGUCACUGAAGUGCUUCAAACUUCAGCAAAAGUGAGUGAAAGAAGGCUUGCUUAUCCCAAGACCAAUUUCGAACUUAUUUUAACAAGAAAAAGCUUCAUACAUCUUUAAUACAACUGCUUCUUAGGAGACCAUGUGCAGUCUUCAUAUUUUAGGUUCCAUUAUAAAUUUUACCUAAUUGUAGCACUUUCCAGCACUUUAUAUUCUGAGUCCAAAUUGAAAUGAUCACAGGGUGUGUCAUUGCUGACCAUUCUGGGUCAUGUUUAGUUGUGAUUGAGCCCAUAGAAAGAGCAACUAGACCAUCUUUUUUAGGUCUUGUUCGUCACUAUUAGUAGAUGAUUAACAAAAUCAUACUUUUUUUUUCUCUAUUAUGUCAUGAUUACAAUGAGACUAAGUGUGGACAAAUAAACCAUAUUAGGAACUCAAACGCUAAAGCAACAGAUCUCGGCAUUUGGCUUGUGUUCCCACCGCAAAACACGUGGUAAAAGAUGUUCACACAUGGGGCAGAGUUUCAGGGACAUUUAAGGAUUUGUGCAAUCCCCACAACUCUAGCUAAAUCACUCAAGACUGCAAAUGGGAGGGGCACCUGAGUGGCUCAGUCGGUUAAGAGUCCGACUCUUAGUUUCACCUCAGGUCAUGCUCUCACGGUGUGUGAGUUCAAGCCCCGCAUCAGGCUCCGUGCUCACAGUGCAGAGCUUGCUUGGGAUUCUCUCUCUCUCCCUCUCUCUCUGCACCUCCCCCACUCACUCUCUCUGUCUCUCUCAAAAGUAAAUAAAUAAAAGUUUUUUUAAAAAUUAAAAAAAAAAAGACUGCAAAUGGGAAUAUGAGUGAGAAAGCAAUUAUUGUAGGAGUAACUUUGGAUCUUCUGCUCUAAUUUAUUUUUAAGUAAAUCGAUUGAAAACAAUUACUUAUCACAAAUUACACGUGAACCACCUCCCAAGGAAUCACAACAAGCACAUAUGCACCGCAAGAGUGUAUUUAGAACCGCUGACCCAGAUAAACGAAAUUCUUCUAAAGUUGGAUAAUCAUAGGUGCUCUGAAUUUUUAGAAACUCAUUAUAUAGCUAAAUACCAAUCACCAAAGCCAACCAGUGCCAUAAUUUAAGCACUUAAUUGGCUUUAUUCCUGUAUACUUUUCUCCUACUUGGCUUUCUUUCUCUCUUCCGUCCGAAAGAUUUGAUGAUAGAGGGGGUGGGGUAGCUGGUUAGCUCUCCCUAAAGCAGGUAUUUCCCCUUCCCUGCAGUCUCUGUGUCUCUCAGACCACCACUGACAAGUGUUGAUAUGUGGAAGUAGUCGCCUCAGGUCGACUGUUCCUGCAGCCAAGCUGGGAGCAGUCACUUCGCUGGAAAGCUCUGUGGUCCCUGCCAGCAUCUCUGGUCCACAGAUGUCUCAGGAUGCAACCCCGCCCUUCCUUGGUUGCAGCAGUGGG
rnacentral:lncRNA from 1 species